GUCUACGGCUAUUCUACCCUGAACAAGCCUGAUCUCGUCUGAUCUCGGAAACUAAGCAGGGUCGAGCCUGGUUAGGACUUAGAUGGCAGACCACCUAGGAAGACCAGGUGCUAUAGGCG
rnacentral:rRNA from 1 species